rnacentral:pre_miRNA from 1 species
GAUUUCAACUGAAAAAGUCAUCAACAACAAAUUUGUACAACUCACCAAUAUCUACAAUUUUUAUUUUGGUCAUUUCUUCAUCCGACAAAGUAAUAAUAACAUUAUUCAUAAAAUUUACAUGUCUCUCUUAUAGUUUGUAAACUAUGUAAGAGAUAUGUACAUUUUGUAAACAAUGUUAUAAAUCACUUUGUCGGAUGAAAAAAUAACACAAAUAAAAGUUAUAGAUCUUGAUGAGUUAUACCACUUUGUUGUUAAUGACUUUUUCGGUUGAAAUC